rnacentral:rRNA from 1 species
AAAGCUGGCGGCAUGCCUAUAAUGCAAGUCGAGCGGAAUGACGAGAGCUUGCUCUCUGAUUUUAGCGGCGGACGGGUGAGUAACACGUGGGCAACCUGCCCUACAGAUGGGGAUAACUCCGGGAAACUGGGGCUAAUACCGAAUAAUCAGUUUGUCCGCAUGGACAAACUCUGAAAGACGGUUUCGGCUGUCACUGUAGGAUGGGCCCGCGGCGCAUUGGCUAGUUGGUGGGGUAAUGGCCUACCAAGGCAACGAUGCGUAGCCGACCUGAGAGGGUGAUCGGCCACACUGGGACUGAGACACGGCCCAGACUCUUACGGGAGGCAGCAGUAGGGAAUCUUCCACAAUGGACGAAAGUCUGAUGGAGCAAUGCCGCGUGAGCGAAGAAGGUUUUCGGAUCGUAAAGCUCUGUUGUAAGGGAAGAACACGUACGGGAGUAACUGCCCGUGCCAUGACGGUACCUUAUUAGAAAGCCACGGCUAACUACGUGCCAGCAGCCGCGGUAAU